AUGUUAGAAGCAACCGGGUCAAUGGGAUGUAGAACUUCAACUGGAUGGACCCUGAUGGGAAGGCCCACAGUUCUCAAACUGUGGUCUGCAGAGGAUGAGUCUCAGAGGUUCGGAAGAAUAUUCAAAAUAUUUGAGACUCCUGAAAUGGGAUGUUCAGAAGGGCCUGCCUGUGCUGAGACUCAGAGGAAGGGUGUCCCACAAGGGAAACAGGAGAAUGAAGGUUUAAAGAUUUUGAAAACCUGACAAAGCUUGUGAGACAUUUCUUCACUGGAGCUCAUGUGACUGCAAAUCCCUGGACAUGACUGUGAACUGUCAUUUUGUUUGUCGUCGAGAAUUUCAUCAUGAACUUUCAAGCACUAGUGAACAGGUGCAGCUUUUAUCACUGACAGAGGCAAGUGAAGUAACCCAGGGUGAGUAAAUAAGCGGUAGCUUCAUGUUCUCUGGACCUCUCUUUCCUGUUUUUAAAUGACAAAUGGUACAUUCAUCCUCCACAUUUGAAAAAGAUUUGGAAAGAAAGAAUUUGGGUCAAAAUGCAGAGAUUGAGCUUUUGGCCUUCUUGAAAAGACUUCUGAAUGAGAAAAGAGAAAAACAUUACUUUUUGGUUUGUGGUGACACAGGAUAUUGAGGUUGUGAGUAUGAAAAUACUUUUUUGCCUUCAAUUUUUAAAGCUGGAAGAGCAUAUGAACAAGAAUGGUUUGUGUUGGCACCAGCAGAAUUGACAUUUGGGAGAGAAGAGAGAAGCUAUAUUCUAGCUGGAGGACAAGAUCCUGAGCUUGCUUAAUUCUACAGGAAGCAGCAAGAGGGAUGGGUCUUGCCCUACCACCUGUGUGCACCUUUGAUUAAUGCUCCCUGGAGCAGAAAGCAGAAAAUGGGAAUAUAUGACAUAAACAUUAAUCCACAUGUUUAACUCUAUCAAUUAAAAGACCAAUAAACAGGAAGCUUAAUGGGACAUUAUGCCACAGAUUAUGCUAAUUGGCUUACCAUAUUGAUUUCUGAGCAUUCUCAAUUUGUUUAUCAGAACAAAAUUUAUUCUUUUUUAAUUACUUUGCCAAUUUUUUGUUGUGUUCCAUGGUUUUUGUGAUACAGAGUUUUGCAUCAUAGGAAAUUCUCUACCACAAUUCAUAUUGAACUGGUUAUCAUGAGCUGGUUUAAUCUGAUCAAAAUAACAUCGGCUGACUUCCUGUUUUCAGGUACAAAGUUGGGGUUGCAAAAUAUGGAUGGAUCGAUGUAAUAUCAUUGUAAAGGGGAUUUUUGCCUGGAUUCAAUCUAAGUACAUCUCAAAAAAUUGUAAAAUAGAAUCUACCAGCUAAAACUAAUGAGCACAAAACUGCAUUGAUUUGGCCCAGGGUGGACAAAUAGAACAUCUGGCAUAUUUGGCACCAGUGACACAGCUGGCAUUGUUGGAAACAUUUCUGCAGAAGGUACAGAUGCAGAAAUGGGAGAAUUGGUACAAACAGUGCAGAUGGAACACUUGGAACAGAUGACAGUGGGCAGAGCUGGCGAUGCUGGCACAGGUGUCAUAACCUCAACAGCUGGCACAAGUUGUGACAAUCCUGGGAUUUCUUAGUACAAGGCACAUGUUCAUUUUGGCUUGGGCUACAGAGAGAUAAGAGCAUUUUAUAAUUAGUAAAUGUGCCAUUUAAAAAAGAACUUUUUCCCCCUCCAUCCUUAAGGACAUCCACCUCCAACUGUUAAAGCUUGGAAUGUAAAGCAUUUUUGCAAAUUAGAAUUUCCCCGAGAAAGCCAUAAUUGAUAAAUACAGAUUUCAUAGAAGAGGCAAUUAGAUAUUUUUGUUCUGGUAUAGAUAAAAUUCAUGAAUGGAAUUUCUUCAUAGGAGUUUUGUAGCAAAUAAAGGUUAGAGUUUUGGAAAUGAAAGUAUAUUUUGCAUUUAAAUGAAAUUUAUUUGUUAUCAAAUUAGAGGGUUAUUUGUUUCUGAAGUAUAGUGACUAUUUGCCACUUAUAUGAAAUUUCCUGUAGAAUCACAUUUGAAGAUAUGGUACAGAAUUGGAAACCUGUCUACAGAACAGGUUGGGAAAAGAGAAAAAAUACUAGAAUAUAAAAUAUGGAAAAUCAUGAUAUUGCCACUUUCAAAUACCAAUGGGACUUGGCUUAAAAUUUCAUCUAAAAUGCUGUAAGUUGGGGCUUGAAUUAAAAAUACAAUACAGUAAAAUCCUUUGGGCUUUGACAUUUAAUGCCAGAUGAAAGUUGAAGAACAAAGAAACUUGUUAGUAGUUAGAAAUCAUUAUUUUCUCCCAAUAUUUUAAUUGUAACUAAAAUCUUUCAUAUCAUGGGAAAAAAAGAUUCAUUAUAAAAUAAAACCUAAUAAGGGAUUAAGUAAUAGGUUCUUAAAUUGCCUUAAACAUAUUCUUGUUUAAAAAAAUGAAUCUAUGGUCUAAAAUAUAUCAAUAUUUUUAAAAAUAUCAAUAAUCACUCUUAGUGUUAAUGACUAAUCAUCUUAGUAGGUGGAAACAAAGAAAAUCAGGCCUCAGUUGUCUUUAAGACCACAAAUUAUACACAUACCAAAAACAAUUUUUUAAACCUCCCCAAAGGAAAUUAUAGAUGAGAAAAAUGGAUUAGAUGUCACCAACCCUAGGACCUCAGGUAAAUCUAAAAUUCUUUAGGAAUUUCCAGACUAUUUUGAACUAAAACUCAGCAGAAUACAUCAGUUUCCAUUCAGAAUCAAUGCAACACAGUGAAUAUUUUAUGUAUAUUCUGAGACUUUUUGGAAACCAUAACAAUAAGAAUUAUUUCUCACUGGAUCUCACUAAAAACAUGCUUUGUUUCCAGAUGACCCUGUAUACUGUUAUUUGUAUUUAAUAAAA
rnacentral:lncRNA from 1 species